AGUGAACGCUGGCGGUAUGCCUAACACAUGCAAGUCGAACGGCAGCACAGUAAGAGCUUGCUCUUACGGGUGGCGAGUGGCGGACGGGUGAGGAAUACAUCGGAAUCUACUUUUUCGUGGGGGAUAACGUAGGGAAACUUACGCUAAUACCGCAUACGACCUACGGGUGAAAGCAGGGGAUCUUCGGACCUUGCGCGAUUGAAUGAGCCGAUGUCGGAUUAGCUAGUUGGCGGGGUAAAGGCCCACCAAGGCGACGAUCCGUAGCUGGUCUGAGAGGAUGAUCCGCCACACUGGAACUGAGACACGGUCCAGACUCCUACGGGAGGCAGCAGUGGGGAAUAUUGGACAAUGGGCGCAAGCCUGAUCCAGCCAUACCGCGUGGGUGAAGAAGGCCUUCGGGUUGUAAAGCCCUUUUGUUGGGAAAGAAAAGAAGCAGGUUAAUACGCCGCUGUUCUGACGGUACCCAAAGAAUAAGCACCGGCUAACUUCGUG
rnacentral:rRNA from 1 species